rnacentral:rRNA from 1 species
AUUGAACGCUAGCGGCAGGCCUAACACAUGCAAGUCGAGUGAGCGGCGGACGGGUGAGUAAUGUAUGGGGACUGCCCGAUAUAGGGGGAUAACUACUGGAAACGGUGGCUAAUACCGCAUACUAUCGGAUAACCCAUAUGGGAUUAGCUAGUAGGUGGGGUAAAGGCUCACCUAGGCGACGAUCGCUAGCUGGUCUGUGAGGAUGAUUAGCCAUACUGCGACUGAGACCAGGCGCAGACUCAUACGGAGGGAGCAGUGGGGAGUAUUGCACGAUGGGCGCCAGCCUGGUGUCGACCUGCCGCGUGUAUGAAAAAAGCGUUAGGGUUGUAAAGUACUUUCAGCGGGAAGGCGUUACCCGCAGAAGAAGCACCGGCUAACUCCGUGCCAGCAGCCGCGGUAAUUC